rnacentral:rRNA from 1 species
GAUGAACGCUGGCGGCGUGCCUAAUACAUGCAAGUCGAGCGAACGGACGAGAAGCUUGCUUUUCUGAUGUUGGCGGCGGACGGGUGAGUAACACGUGGAUAACCUACCUGUAAGACUGGGAUAACUUCGGGAAACCGGAGCUAAUACCGGAUAAUAUUUUGAACCGCAUGGUUCAAAAGUGAAAGACGGUCUUGCUGUCACUUAUAGAUGGAUCCGCGCUGCAUUAGCUAGUUGGUAAGGUAACGGCUUACCAAGGCAACGAUGCAUAGCCGACCUGAGAGGGUGAUCGGCCACACUGGAACUGAGACACGGUCCAGACUCCUACGGGAGGCAGCAGUAGGGAAUCUUCCGCAAUGGGCGAAAGCCUGACGGAGCAACGCCGCGUGAGUGAUGAAGGUCUUCGGAUCGUAAAACUCUGUUAUUAGGGAAGAACAUAUGUGUAAGUAACUGUGCACAUCUUGACGGUACCUAAUCAGAAAGCCACGGCUAACUACGUG